rnacentral:tRNA from 1 species
UGCCUUGUAGUAUAUCCUUAAAUUACUGUAAACUGCAACUUUACCAAAGCAACUGCCAAGGCAU